rnacentral:rRNA from 1 species
AUUGAACGCUGGCGGCAGGCCUUACACAUGCAAGUCGAGCGGAAGAAGGGAUUUUGCUCCUGGAUUCAGCGGAGGGCGGGUGUGUAAUGCCUAGGAAUCUGCCUGGUAGUGGGGGAUAAAGUCGGGAACUGGGCUCUUACACCGCAUACGUCCUGAGGGAAAGAGUGGGGGCUCUUCGGACCUCACGCUAUCAGCUGCGCCGAGGUCGGAUUAGCUAGUUGGUGGGGUAAAGGCCUACCAAGGCGACGAUCCGUAGCUGGUCUGAGAGGAUGAUCAGUCACACUGGAACUGAGACACGGUCCAGACUCCUACGGGAGGCAGCAGUGGGGAAUUUUGGACAAUGGGCGAAAGCCUGAUCCAGCCAUGCCGCGUGUGUGAAGAAGGUCUUCGGAUUGUAAACCACUUUUAUUUGGAAGGAAGAGGAGUAAGUUAAUACCUUGCUGUUUUGACGUUACCAUCAGAAUAAGCACCGGCUAACUUCGUG